AGCAGCCGCGGUAAUUCCAGCUCCAAUAGCGUAUAUUAAAGUUGUUGCAGUUAAAAAGCUCGUAGUUGAAUUUCGGGAUCAUCAGGUUGGUCGUGCCUCUGGUAUGUACUGAUCUCGCUGGUUCCUCCUUCUUGAAGAACCGUAAUGGCAUUAAUUUGUUGUUGCGGGGAAACAGGACUGUUACUUUGAAAAAAUUAGAGUGUUUAAAGCAGGCAAUCGCUUGAAUACAUUAGCAUGGAAUAAUGAAAUAGGACGUUCGAUCCUAUUUUGUUGGUUUCUAGGAUUGACGUAAUGAUUAAUAGGGAUAGUUGGGGGCAUUAGUAUUCAAUUGUCAGAGGUGAAAUUCUUGGAUUUAUUGAAGACUAACUACUGCGAAAGCAUUUGCCAAGGAUGUUUUCAUUAAUCAAGAACGAAAGUUAGGGGAUCGAAGACGAUCAGAUACCGUCGUAGUCUUAACCAUAAACUAUGCCGACUAGGGAUCGGAUGAUGUUAAUUUUUAAUGACUUCAUU
rnacentral:rRNA from 1 species